CCUACGGGUGGCAGCAGUCGGGAAUAUUGCGCAAUGGAGGAAACUCUGACGCAGUGACGCCGCGUAUAGGAAGAAGUUUUUUGGAAUGUAAACUAUUGUCGUUAGGGAAGAGAAAGGACAGUACCUAAGGAGGAAGCUCCGGCUAACUACGUGCCAGCAGCCGCAGUAAUACGUAGGGAGCGAGCGUUAUCCGGAAUUAUUGGGUGUAAAGGGUGCGUAGACGGGAAAACAAGUGAGUUGUGAAAUCCCUCGGCUUAACUGAGGAACUGCAACUAAAACUAUUGUUCUUGAGUGCAGGGGAGGUAGGUGGAAUUCGUAGUGUAGCGGUGAAAUGCGUAGAUAUGAGGAAGAACACCGAUGGCGAAGGCAACUUGCUGGACUGUAACUGACGUUGAGGCACGAAAGUGUGGGGAGCAAACAGGAUUAGAUACCCGGGUAGUC
rnacentral:rRNA from 1 species